rnacentral:Y_RNA from 1 species
AGUUGGUCCGAUAACAGUGGGUUAUCGUUGUUUACGAAAUUCUCCCCACCGUUGCCAUUGACUAACGUUUU